rnacentral:lncRNA from 1 species
CACAUGCCUUGCAGGUCUUUAGGUGCAUAUUGUUGGAACUUGCUGUCUGGGAGGCUGGACGGCGUAGUCGAUGGACAACGGGUGAAUAUUCCUGUACUACCCCUUGUUGGUCCCGAGGGACAGAGGAGGCUAGGUUAGCUGAAAGAUGGUUAUCGGUUCAAGGACGUAAGGUGACCCUGCUUUUUCAGGGUAAGAAGGGGUAGAGAAAAUGCGCCAAUGUUCGAGUACCAGGCGCUACGACGCUGAAGUAUCCCAUGCCAUACUCCCCGGAAAAGCUCGAACGACCUUCAACAAAAGGGUACCUGUAACCGAAACCGACACAGGUGGGUAGGUAGAGAAUACCUAG